rnacentral:rRNA from 1 species
CUACGUAGGGGGCGAGCGUUGUCCGGAAUGAUUGGGCGUAAAGGGCGCGUAGGCGGCCCGGUAAGUCUGGAGUGAAAGUCCUGUUUUUAAGAUGGGAAUUGCUUUGGAUACUGUCGGGCUUGAGUGCAGGAGAGGUAAGUGGAAUUCCCAGUGUAGCGGUGAAAUGCGUAGAGAUUGGGAGGAACACCAGUGGCGAAGGCGACUUACUGGACUGUAACUGACGCUGAGGCGCGAAAGUGUGGGGAGCAAACAGGAUUAGAUACCCUGGUAUUCCACGCCAUAAACGAUGAAUACUAGGUGUAGGGGGUAUCGACCCCCUCUGUGCCGACGUUAACACAUUAAGUAUUCCACCUGGGGAGUACGGCCGCAAGGCUGAAACUCAAAGGAAUUGACGGGG